AUACGGAGGGUGCAAGCGUUACUCGGAAUCACUGGGCGUAAAGCGCGCGCAGGCGGCCUCUUAAGUUGGAUGUGAAAGCCUACGGCUCAACCGUAGAACUGCAUCCAAAACUAUCAGGCUAGAGUGUGGGAGAGGAAGAUGGAAUUAGUUGUGUAGGGGUAAAAUCCGUAGAGAUAACUAGGAAUACCAAAAGCGAAGGCAAUCUUCUGGAACAUUACUGACGCUGAGGCGCGAAAGCGUGGGGAGCAAACAGGAUUAGAAACCCCGGUAGUCC
rnacentral:rRNA from 1 species